UAGGGAAUAUUGGUAAUGGGCGAAAGCCUGAACCAGCAACGCCGCGUGUGCGAUGAAGGCCUUCGGGUUGUAAAGCACUUUUUGAGGGGAUGAGGAAGGACAGUACCCUCAGAAUAAGUCUCGGCUAACUGCGUGCCAGCAGCCGCGGUAACACGUAGGAGACUAGCGUUAUCCGGAUUUACUGGGCGUAAAGCGCGUGCAGGUGGCUCGGAAAGUUCGAUGUGAAAGCUCCCGGCUUAACUGGGAGAGGUCGUUGAAUACUUUCGGAGUAGAGGAGGGGAGGGGGAGGCGGAAUUGCGGGUGUAGUGGUGGAGUGGGUAGAUAUCCGGAGGAACACCAGUGGCGAGAGCGGCGUCGUGGGUGAUGGCUGACACUCAGGCGCGAGAG
rnacentral:rRNA from 1 species